CUCUGCAGAAUUAAGCAUUACAACAAGUGAUUGAAUAAGAUGGGUACAUGAAUUUGAUAGACUAAGAUCCUCCACCACUCUCUGAUGACUAACUUUCGCAGCACAAAUAAGAAGUGCAGCUCCUCCAAUUUUGACCUUUGGAUUUGUGGAAUUGAUCACCCUUCUAGCAACUAAUGCUAUACAUCCGGAGGCAGUAACAACAGUGUCUCCUAAAACAACAGGCUGAUCUCGACA
rnacentral:misc_RNA from 1 species